rnacentral:rRNA from 1 species
GUAGUCUGCAACCCGACUACAUGAAGCUGGAAUCGCUAGUAAUCGCGGAUCAGAAUGCCGCGGUGAAUACGUUCCCGGGUCUUGUACACACCGCCCGUCACACCAUGGGAGCCGGUAACGCCCGAAGUCAGUGACCCAACCGUAAGGAGGGAGCUGCCGAAGGCGGGACAGGUAACUGGGGUGAAGUCGUAACAAGGUAAC